rfam:Schistosoma margrebowiei strain Zambia genome assembly, scaffold: SMRZ_scaffold0002286
AGGUUUGUGAAUCCGUGUGGAGAUUUCGUCAGUCACCAACCCAUAAGGGCUGACAAGACUUCCAAGAUAAAUGAAGUU